UAUACAUGUAUAACGCGUUGUCGUCGAGAGCGAGGCCUACUGUAUCUGCAGAUAAGCUCUUCUGAGACGAUACGGCGGCCGCUGCUUUGAAAAGCCUUCCAGAUCCUCUGAGAUCCUCUCGGAGCUGAAACCGGAGCCGGUGCUUCAGAGAGACGUGAACAAAGAGCUGCAUUGAGAGUGUACUUACAGACUUAAGUGUUUAUGUUGGGGAGAUAACUGGCCAGUAUCUUUCCAGAUCUGAAUAUUGGAGAUUGAGAGGAACCUGCAGACGUACCAGAACAACAAACACGGAGAUGACAUGCUUCUCAAAGGCUGUUUUAUGCACAUCCUUGUGUAAAAUAUCCCACAAGAGACCGUUCAGAGCUGCAUUCUCCCAUCACGCACCAGCCGGACUGACGGAAAAUACAGAACAAAGACCCUCUCUGGCCUUUAAAAGCUUUCAUUAGUGACUAACGCUGAGCUCAGUGAAGGAUCGAACCGCUCAUGCUGCUCUCUCAAAGCGCUGGUUCGGUCAGAAUCAUGUACUCAUCUGUGUUCGCAGCACAAAAGAAGACUCAUGUUGUUUUGGGUCCAGCAGAAACCUGCGUUUGGGUCAAAUAUCCCUUCAACACAGCUCUGUUUGGAAAUGUGAAGGUUGUUCAGGCCUGUUGUGAGGGACAGACAGACGGAGCGCCGGGCUUUUAACUAUCACUCGUAUCACGCGGCGUUCUCAAAUCUGUCAUCGGUGAUCUUCUCUUCUGUAAAUGGUCUUCACGCUGCGGCUGAUAAAUGCUGCUAAUCUCAUGAACGUACGUCAGAAUGAUGGCAGGAAACGAUUUGCACUGCUUGCUGACAAUACAAGGUUUUGGUGUCAGCUUCUGGCUCGGCCAAUGGCAUGGGUUUGGGGCGGGACCAUGUGUUUAACCGACCAAUGACGGACCUGGGGAGCGUUUGGGACGACUGGACCCGUGUUUUGAGCCUCACAUAUGAAACAAUUCUUUAAAAAUGAAACGGUUGAACCUUUAGACCAAAUACUGCGCAUGCAUUUUGCUUUUGAGUAUCAUAUCUGAUCCAUCAGGCUUUUGUAGCUUAUAUGGCCUUUUAUUCAGAGCUUCAAACAUUCAACUGUAGAUGCUGAUAUUUCUAUGAUGAAAUGCUGAUGCUUGUGAUGUAACGCAUAUAAAACAAUGCAGUCUAAUUCUGACGAAGGACUAAAGGCUCCUCAGAAGAUGCGAGGUGUUUCCUGAUGAUCAGAUUUGAGAUGCACGGAUUUGACUAAAAAGCUGAUUGUUGCUUUGCGGUAUGAAUCUUUAUAUGCAAAAGAGCAGAAAAUAGCAUGCGACGGGAACGACGUGAAGGUCAGUAAAUGAUGAUAAAACGUCCAUUUUGGCCGAACUAUUCCUUUAAUGAGUGACUAACAUAAAACCAAGCGACGAAGCUUUCGGGACUGUUUAUGCUGGACUAAACGAGCAUAAUAAAAGCUCGGAUGUGACUCAGUGCAGCUGGAGAAAGACGAGUCUGUGUGUCUGUUGUAUUGAGUGCUUCAACGAGACCGGUUCUCGUCUGAGUCACACCUGAAUCACGCUCCAGACCUCCAGGAUCUGCUGCACCGGGAUCAGGACAUCAUCUCUCUUCUGGGGAGCCUGCUGGUCAUCAGAAAACCUUGCAUGAGUGAGAAACAGCUGACUGCGUGCGAAAGAGAGCUCUAACAAGCGCUGCUGGGUCGUUCUUGAGAUUUAACGGUAAGCGUCAUCAGGCCUCGCUCUCGGGAAGGAGUUUAUCGCUCGUGGAGAUGUUUGUCAACAAGUUGUCCUGCAGCUAAUCAACAAUUUAAAAGCAAGCUAAUUUGGCAGCAAUGGAGCAUCUGCUUGCUCGUCCAGCAGGAGGUGCUGCACUUCAAAUAGAUUCGAAACUAUUUCUGGUCCCACAUUCAUACUGUAAAUAUUCAAGUGCACCAGUUUUUUCCCAUUUUCUCCUC